GUCUACGGCCAUACCACCCUGAAUGCGCCCAAUCUCGUCUGAUCUCGGAAGCUAAGCAGGGUCGGGCCUGGUUAGUACUUGGAUGGGAAAAUGUUCUGGGAUUUGCCAGUCGUAUUUC
rnacentral:rRNA from 1 species